GGCCCCAUGGUGUAAUGGUUAGCACCCUGGACUCUGAAUCCAGAGAUCCGAGUUCGAGUCUCGGUGGGACCU
rnacentral:tRNA from 1 species